GACAGAGGUGGCAAGCGUUGUCCGGAUUUACUGGGCGUAAAGGGCGUGUAGGCGGUUCCCUAAGUCGGCCGUGAAAAGCGUCAGCUCAACUGAAGCAGGGCGACCGAGACUGUGGGGCUUCGAGUGCGGGAGAGGGAAGUGGAAUUCCCGGUGUAGCAGUGAAAUGCGUAGAUAUCGGGAAGAACACCAAUGGCGAAAGCGACUUCCUGGCCCGCUACUGACGCUGAGGCGCGAAAGCCAGGGGAGCGAACGGG
rnacentral:rRNA from 1 species